CUUGGUUUCUUUUUCGCCUGAAGGUUUAUCCACAUUUGCAUCAAUGGCAGAACACUGGGGACAACCUUGGAACACAUCAGGAAUGGCUCAGCUCGUCUGCUGCACAGAAUCAUGACUGACUCAACCCUCGGUGUCUGCACUGCAAUCAUAAGAGACCCGCUUUGCACGUCUAUACAUCAAAAUGUCAAUGCUGCUUUUAGCUGAUUAGAGGCGCUUCUCGACGAAGCCACAACAACAUGGCCUUUGCUCAGACUUGUCGGCAGGACCCAAGAACAGCCUGAGGAGCUGAUCAUGACGACUGCACACAGCAGGGAUUGGGUGUCACAAAAGGUGACUCACAGGGAGGCUGCUUCAGGAAAAGAAGUUCCCUGAGACUUAGUGCACACGUUACUUAAUCUUCUCACACCCACAUUUAAGACACAGCUGAACAAUGGUGCAGAUAUCUAGUUCUUCUUGGCUCUUUUCAGAUUAAGGGCCGUGGAACUACUAGAGGUGUUUCAGCCUAUACGUGAAGGAACCGACUCUCUACAUAACUAUCACGCACCCUGUGAUAGAAUAUCAUGACUGCAUUAACAGUCAUUACUGUCAUUUGGAAGACAGGUUUCUAACCUCCUAACCAAUUUCAAUUACAUCAUGGUAAAUGGCAACUUUUGAUUUAAUAUCCUUUUGCUAAUUUCACCUUCACAAAUAUCAUAUUAUGAAAAUGGAGAUUUAAUUUCCUGACUUUGUCUCAGUGCUACACGUACCAAACAAAGGAAUGUAGAGGAAGGAAAGUAUAUAUAUAUAUAUAUAUAUAUAUAUAUAUAUAUAUAUCGUUGCCAUUCACUAAAUUAACUUGCUAAGAUAAAGAAUAAUAAAGUGCUGUUGAAAAGAAGAUAAAACAGACGUGCAUUGCAGAAACAGAUUCCAGUGACAUUAUCACCUGUUAUUAAUCUCUCAACAAAAAGCUUAUGAUGUGUUUCUUAAACAGCUUCGUUCACAGAGUCACUCAACUGCUGUUGAUCUUAUAGUUUUCAGCAACAGAACCAAAAAUCAUAUUCCUCAAAAUGUUUAGCCGUCUUUCUCAUCAUUAAACUUUACUGCUUUAUCAAACCUGC
rnacentral:lncRNA from 1 species